UACAGAGGGGGCAAGCGUUGUUCGGAAUUACUGGGCGUAAAGGGCGCGUAGGCGGCCUCUUAAGUCGGACGUGAAAUCCCUCGGCUCAACCGGGGAACUGCGUCCGAUACUGGCGGGCUUGAAUUCGGGAGAGGGAUGUGGAAUUCCAGGUGUAGCGGUGAAAUGCGUAGAUAUCUGGAGGAACACCGGUGGCGAAGGCGGCAUCCUGGACCGACAUUGACGCUGAGGCGCGAAAGCCAGGGGAGCAAACGGG
rnacentral:rRNA from 1 species